UUUAUGGUCAUCUGUGCUUGUGUAUACUAUUAGUAAAUCUAUUUUGCAAUGAACCCAAAUAAUCAAAUUGUCCCGUGGUACUUACGGUCCAUGGAUCUAAUAAUUUUUGCUUCUUUUUAUUUAUUUAUUUAUUGCAUAUCAUAACCUGUCAGUCUCAUAAUAUUGUCCAACAAGAUUGCCUUUUUGAAAAAUUUCACAUAAAUCGGACACGGGUGAUUAUGUUAUCCUUUAAUUUUUCUAACGAAUAUAAUUUUCACUGUCAUUUUGUGUUUUGGAUAGGUGGAAUGACAGUGACCUGACUGAAAAAUAUGUUAUCUGGACGACGAACGACCAAGUCAAGGUCUUUUAAGUGUACAGUCCAACUCCUUUUAAAUAGCAAUUGAAUUCUGCACUUUAAGCAAUAAGUUACUCGGCCAAAUUUGCAGAAAUAUUUCAAAGUUUAAUUCUUCACUUGGAUUUUUCAUUGCUGAUCAUGUAAGUUAGUUGUUAUUAUUAUUAUUAUUUUUUCACCAAGGUAACUCUUGUGCUUACACUUUUCGCGGAGCUAGUUCUAUUUUCUUAAUGUUCUAAUUUUCAAUGAAUGUAUUUGGACAAAGCCACGAACUUGUCUUUUAGAGGACUUAAAUUGUAUUAAUAUUGCUGAUAUAUUCCUUAUAAAUAAAAAAGAGCAAACAAAGUUCUUAUAAAAAACGCAAGGAUAGCAGACAGUGAUUUUAAUUUUUUUUUGUUGAUGUUAUCUCUAUUUUAAUAAUAGAUGAUUGAUUGAUUCAAUCUUCUUCUUGUCCAUAAUUAAAAUAACUACUUUCUACUUCCUAAAGGAAUCUCUAAUCUGUCGAAAUGACUUUAUACACAUUUGUAGAAAUCAAUAUCUUGAUUAUUUGGUUGUCAAGUGUAUAUAAGUUAUACCGUCUGUUAGUUUUUUUAAUUGGCAUGUUUGAUAUUUUUCAACCAAAAUUCCCCUUGAUUGGGAAAAUAAACCAUUUCCUGCUCAUGUUUUUUAAUCCUACUCCAAAAUUCUCAUCUUAUUUGGUGAAAAUUUUAUUUUUGGGAUUUAUACGUGCAACCUAAUCAAGAAGUUGUUGGAAUGUGCUUGUGUAUUAUUUUAAUAAAUCUAUUUUGCAAUAAACCCAAAUAGUCAAAUUCUUAAUUCUCCCGUGCUAUAUAUAUGGUCUGUGGAUAUAUUAAUGUUUGCUUCUUUUAAUUAAUUUAUUUAUCUUUUGCAUAUCAUAACCUCUCAGAUUACUGUCUAACAAGAUUGCCUUUAAGUUUGAAAAUUUUCACAUAAAUUGGACGCGGGUGAUUAUGGUGUCCUUUCAUUUUCUGACGAAUUAAUUUUCACUGUCAAUUUGUAGUUUGGCUAGCUGGAAUGACAGUG
rnacentral:lncRNA from 1 species